GAUGAACGCUGGUGGUAUGCUUAACACAUGCAAGUCGAACGGUCUUUUCGGAGAUAGUGGCGGACGGGUGAGUAACGCGUAAGAAUCUACCUUCAGGCUCGGGACAACCACUGGAAACGGUGGCUAAUACCGGAUGUGCCGAGAGGUGAAAGGCUUGCUGCCUGAAGAAGAGCUUGCGUCUGAUUAGCUAGUUGGUGUGGUAAAGGCGCACCAAGGCGACGAUCAGUAGCCGGUCUGAGAGGAUGAUCAGCCACACUGGGACUGAGACACGGUCCAAACUCC
rnacentral:rRNA from 1 species